rnacentral:misc_RNA from 1 species
AAAGUCGUAACAAGGUCUCCGUAGGUGAACCUGCGGAGGGAUCAUUACUGAAUGGCCUUUUUGCGCCGAUACCCUUCAAUCCCGUGGAAGCAAGAUGUGCUUCGGUGGCCCGUUAUGGGGGCUUGCCGCUUUUAUGCUGUCUGAUGUAUGUGUCUGAAAGGAAAGGGAGUGAAUGAUAAAACUUUCAACAAAGGAUCUCUUGGCUCUC